GAUGAACGCUGGCGGCGUGCCUAAUACAUGCAAGUCGAGCGGAGCGGGGACGGGUGAGUGACACGUGGAUAACCUCCUAUAAGACUGGGAUAACUUAGUGAAAACGGUGCUAAACCCGAUACUUUUCCCUGGAUGCGCACUGCAUUAGCUGGUUGGUAAGGUAACGGCUUACCAAGGCAACGAUGCAUAGCAGACCUGAGAGGGUUAUCGGCCACACUGGAACUGAGACACGGUCCAGACUCCUACGGGAGGCAGCAGUAGGGAAUAUUCCGCAAUGGGCGAAAGCCUGAUGGAGCAAUGCCGCUUGAGUGAUGAAGGUCUUCGGAUCGUAAAACUCUGUUAUUAGGGAAGCGGUACCUAAUGAGAAAGCCACGGCUAACUACGUGCCAGCAGCCGCGGUAAUAC
rnacentral:rRNA from 1 species